rnacentral:tRNA from 2 species
GGGGGCAGCCGGGUGGCCGGGAGGGCCUGUAACUCCUAUCCCGAGGGGUUCGAAUCCCCUUGCCUCCA